rnacentral:rRNA from 1 species
AACGAACGCUGGCGGCAGGCUUAACACAUGCAAGUCGAGCGAAUGGAUUAAGAGCUUGCUCUUAUGAAGUUAGCGGCGGACGGGUGAGUAACACGUGGGUAACCUGCCCAUAAGACUGGGAUAACUCCGGGAAACCGGGGCUAAUACCGGAUAACAUUUUGAACCGCAUGGUUCGAAAUUGAAAGGCGGCUUCGGCUGUCACUUAUGGAUGGACCCGCGUCGCAUUAGCUAGUUGGCGAGGUAACGGCUCACCAAGGCAACGAUGCGUAGCCGACCUGAGAGGGUGAUCGGCCACACUGGGACUGAGACACGGCCCAGACUCCUACGGUAGGCGGCAGUAGGGAAUCUUCCGCAAUGGACGAAAGUCUGACGGAGCAACGCCGCGUGAGUGAUGAAGGCUUUCGGGUCGUAAAACUCUGUUGUUAGGGAAGAACAAGUGCUAGUUGAAUAAGCUGGCACCUUGACGGUACCUAACCAGAAAGCCACGGCUAACUACGUGCCAGCCGCCGCGGUAA